rnacentral:rRNA from 1 species
CGGCGCACGGGUGAGUAACGCGUGGAUAAUCUACCCUUAAGAUGGGGAUAACGGCUGGAAACGGUCGCUAAUACCGAAUACGCUCCCGAUUUUAUCAUUGGGGGGAAAGAUGGCCUCUGCUUGCAAGCUAUCGCUUAAGGAUGAGUCCGCGUCCCAUUAGCUAGUUGGCGGGGUAACGGCCCACCAAGGCAACGAUCAGUAGGGGUUCUGAGAGGAAGGUCCCCCACAUUGGAACUGAGACACGGUCCAA